rnacentral:rRNA from 1 species
GAGCUUGCUCCUGGAUUCAGCGGCGGACGGGUGAGUAAUGCCUAGGAAUCUGCCUGGUAGUGGGGGAUAACGUCCGGAAACGGGCGCUAAUACCGCAUACGUCCUGAGGGAGAAAGUGGGGGAUCUUCGGACCUCACGCUAUCAGAUGAGCCUAGGUCGGAUUAGCUAGUUGGUGGGGUAAAGGCCUACCAAGGCGACGAUCCGUAACUGGUCUGAGAGGAUGAUCAGUCACACUGGAACUGAGACACGGUCCAGACUCCUACGGGAGGCAGCAGUGGGGAAUAUUGGACAAUGGGCGAAAGCCUGAUCCAGCCAUGCCGCGUGUGUGAAGAAGGUCUUCGGAUUGUAAAGCACUUUAAGUUGGGAGGAAGGGCAGUAAGUUAAUACCUUGCUGUUUUGACGUUACCAACAGAAUAAGCACCGGCUAACUUCGUGCCAGCAGCCGCGGUAAUACGAAGGGUGCAAGCGUUAAUCGGAAUUACUGGGCGUAAAGCGCGCGUAGGUGGUUCAGCAAGUUGGAUGUGAAAUCCCCGGGCUCAACCUGGGAACUGCAUCCAAAACUACUGAGCUAGAGUACGGUAGAGGGUGGUGGAAUUUCCUGUGUAGCGGUGAAAUGCGUAGAUAUAGGAAGGAACACCAGUGGCGAAGGCGACCACCUGGACUGAUACUGACACUGAGGUGCGAAAGCGUGGGGAGCAAACAGGAUUAGA